UACAGAGACUGCAAGCGUUAUUCGGAUUCACUGGGCGUAAAGGGUGCGCAGGCGGCCAAGUGUGUGAGGCGUGAAAGCCCGGGGCUUAACCCCGGAAUUGCACCUCAAACUACAUGGCUAGAGCAUUGGAGAGGGUAGCAGAAUUCAUGGUGUAGCAGUGAAAUGCGUAGAUAUCAUGAGGAAUACCAGAGGCGAAGGCGGCUACCUGGACAAUUGCUGACGCUCAGGCACGAAAGCGUGGGGAGCAAACAGG
rnacentral:rRNA from 1 species